rnacentral:misc_RNA from 1 species
AGGGAUCAUUAACACGUUCCAUACCAAACUAUACACCCAUCUGUGAACCGAACCACUGUCGGCGAUAAGCCGGGGUGGCAGGUGGCGACGUCAAACUCGCUGCCUCUAUUCCGGCCUCGUCGAUCAGACCCACACGCCCAUCCAGCCACUGCUUCGGCACGGCCUCGGAUGCCUAAUCAUAUUGAUCAAAAACAAAUACGAUACGUAUUGUACCAAUGACACGCCUUAGCUGGCGGGUUGCUCUGAUACUGUAUGUCUCAUACAUAUAAUAUACGAACAACUCUUAGCAAUGGAUAUCUUGGUUCUC